UACGUAGGGUGCGAGCGUUGUCCGGAAUUAUUGGGCGUAAAGGGCUCGUAGGCGGUCUGUCGCGUCGAAAGUGAAAACCCAGGGCUUAACCCUGGGCCUGCUUCCGAUACGGGCAGACUAGAGGUAUGCAGGGGAGAACGGAAUCCUGGUGUAGCGGUGAAAUGCGCAGAUAUCAGGAGGAACACCGGUGGCGAAGGCGGUUCUCUGGGCAUUACCUGACGCUGAGGAGCGAAAGUGUGGGGAGCGAACAGG
rnacentral:rRNA from 1 species